rnacentral:rRNA from 1 species
ACUAGUGGUCUACAGGUCUCCGCAAAGUCGUAAGACCAUGUAUGGGGGCUGACGCCUGCCCAGUGCCGGAAGGUCAAGGAAGUUGGUGAACUGAUGACAGGGAAGCCGGCGACCGAAGCCCCGGUGAACGGCGGCCGUAACUAUAACGGUCCUAAGGUAGCGAAAUUCCUUGUCGGGUAAGUUCUGACCCGCACGAAAGGCGUAA